CCGACCGACCGCCGACCGCCGGGCCCCAAGUGCCAGCUGUGAGGCUGGGUUCGCAUCUGCCCUUCCUGCCGUGGGCGUCUGAGAGGCGCAGGAGCCUCUUCUGUGGUUCAGAGGCUUUGGGGGCAGGUGUCCAGCUCCGUCAGGGCUUCUGCCAGGGCCGCUGGCCCGGCCGAGCCAUGUCCUCGGUGGUCAGGCUCAGGGAUGCGUGACAGGGCAGGCACUGGCAUUGCCUAGCAGGCUACUGAAAUCCCGCUGCACUCCUGGAGCCCCCCUGCCACCCACCUGCGCGUUUGUCCUUCAUUCUGCAGUAGCUAAGCUGGCACCUGCCCAGCUUGUGGCAGUGCAGACCCAGCAGGGGGCCCUGGGUUCCCCUCACUCCUCCACCUGGAUGUAAUGGAACCUUGUGGCCGUUGACAUGGAUGAUUCUGGUCCCAGAUGACCCUGAAUUCGCAUUCCACUUGGCCCUUGCUGCGUGCUGGGCAAGUCGUUUCUAGCCCUCUCUGAACUCUCCACAGAGAGCUGCUUGAACCCCAAGGUUGGCUGUAUGGUGGAGGGGUGCAGCUUAGAGACAAGAAGAGCAGCCAUCAUCUGACACCCUCCAGCCUGGACCAGGUGUACACAGAUUCUGACUUUGAGUUCAUUGUCAAAUGGAGAUUUCCCCCAAAGGCUGGAUUCCUUGUUUUUCCUGAAAACCGGGGCAGUUGAGCAACAGCAGGCUAUACAGCAUGGCCAGUGAGCUACGUCCAGCCCUGGGAUCCACCCAGGCAGGGCCCUGGAGGCAUCGGGCUCACUACCCAUGACCCUGUUUCACACCCCGGGAGUUCAGGGAUCUGCAGCCCCAGGCCGGAUGGGGAAGGAACAGCAGGGCCACUGACUCCCUGCAGCUGUGUGCUGUGUGCCUCCUGGGCUGCCAAGGGCCUGGAGCCCCUGUGCAGACACACCCUCUAAGGCCACCCGGCAAGAGCUGGCCGGGGCUCCUUUGCAGCAAAUGGCAUUUCUGGGAUGUCAGCCUGGAGCUGCCAGCAGCCUCCAGUCAGCCAGGUGGAAGAACCAACCCAGAGAAAGCAGAGCCAGGACACGGAGAGAGGCAAAUUCCUGACCAAAGCUCUAAGCACCUGGAUCCAGCUGUGCCUGAAGCUGAAAUACCCGAACUUGAAUAAGGUCAAUAAAUUUCUUUUCUGAUUAAAUCAACCAACCAAGAAAGUUCCAAGGUGCCAUCUCCAAGUGAGGAGUUUGGGCCGCCAACUAUCCUUAUCUUGAUGCUGCCUGCCUUUACUCCACUGUUUUCCAAACUUCUUUUUCCACAGAACCUUUCCCUUCAAAGAACAGUUGGUACUGUGGUAAGGAAGUAAAUGCAUCGUGGCACGUGCCCACCAGAGACUCUGAGGUCUCCCUGGGGGCUGCCCAGCCCCCCCCCCGCCAUCCUCCAGCUGCAAGCAGCGUGCAGCCCCAGUGCUGUGCCCCCUGGCUGCUCCCUCAGGGUCUCCCUGCCCUGCAGGCCCUGGAAGAACGACCAGGGAUCAAUGGGCAGGGAGGCCCACCUGAACACCUGUUCUUCUGGGAGGGUGGCGGAUGGGAGGCAGGUGGGCCCAUGACUAGGGGCCGUGUUGGGACCUCCCCCAGCCCAGGUGGGUGGCAGGUGGAGUGAGACAGAGGCCCCCGAAGCGUGGGGGUCCCCAGUCCUCGUGAAUGGGGACCGUGGGUCCUGAGCCGCCAGCCCCGUGUCAGACACUCCAGGCCCGAAAGAGGCCUGUGCUGUGUCCCUGCCUAGGGUGGUGGGGGGCGGUGACUGUCCAGGACUCCGCUGGGCUUCAGCCCUGAGAGCCUGCAGGAUGACUGGUCAGGUCGGCAAGGAGGGGCUGCUUGGGUCCUGCCCUCGGCAGAGGCUCGGGCCCCAGUAUCAAGGACACUUCCCAGCCAGGGGCACCUGAGCCCUGUCCCAGGGCCUCAAGGGCGCGACGAGGUGGCUCAGGCCUGGACACUCCUGGGCACGGGAGAGACAGGAAGAACCACAGCCCCUGGUCUGAGCAAUCAGGCUGGCUGUGGCGGGUUGAUGGCAGCUCUGACCAGUGUCCCCAAGCAGGCUGUGCCCCAGGGUGACCAAAGGGGACAGGUGCGCAUGUGGUGGGGGCCAUGCUCAGAGAAAGGUGGUCCGGAAGGCAGGCCCUUUGGACAGAGAUCACACAGGACGGUGUGUUUGUCUGUUUAUUGGGGAGUAUGUUACAUGCAAGAUCCCAAACUAGAGAGACGACCUCUGGAAGGGGAGCCAGUGGGUGGAUGGACGCGCUGCCGCUGACCGCCCUCCAGACCCACUGCUGGCAGAGACACACGACAGUGACAGAACGCCAGGCUGGGGGAUGGCCGGACACCAAACCUGAGAGCCCCUCACGCAUGAAGUGCAAACUCGAGGAGAUAAAUAUCCGCCCCUUCCUCCAGGAGCACCUGGAGUGACGCAGUGAGACUCCGGGGUUGACAGCUGCUCUGGGGGCACGAGGGGCAGGAAGGGCUGGCACUGGGCACACACCUAGCCCGCGGGGUGAAGCGGAUCUGCCCCGGUGGAGGACGGGGUGGGGCCCAGGGUCCAGAGGGUGCGUGGUGCAGAGGCUGGUGCGGGCAGCGGGUGCUUCUCCCUCGCUGGCCCAGGGCCCCUGGACCGAGUUAGAAGCGUGUGGGGGCAAAGUGGAGCCGUGGCAGCAGGAAGGAAUAGGAGGAGCGGGAGCGUGGGCGCGAGCAGCCGUCUGCCCCGGGAUGCCCCAGGAAUCCACCCACUGCUGCCCAGGGCCUCAGCCCUUGCCACCCCCACCCCGCUGGGCCCCUGGGUGCUGUGAAGGCAGUGAGCCAAGGCGAGGUCAGGACAGACAGCAGUCACGCACACCCAGGGGCUGACGGACAGACGGGACAGACAAGACGACCACCUUUCCCUCUGGCCCAGGCCAGCGACGGGCCACUGCAGCCGCUGACCCUUGUUCUGUGCGCGCAGCUAAGCCAGGCACGUGUCUGCCUGCGCGGUGCCUGGGGGUCCUGGGCGGCCACUCCGGGGCAGGUUGGCCAAAGGCCCACCAGUGCCCGAGUCAGAUGGCACUUAUUCCCAUUUGCUGCUGUCCGCUGGCCCAAAGGCAGGCAGGAUAUGGUUAGUUUUCACAGCUCAGCACACAAA